AUGGAGACUGCCAUAUCCGCAGUUGCAGGUGAACUUGUGAGCCAGUUCAUCUCCUUCCUAAUGAACAAGUACAACACCUUGAGCCAUGCCCGAUCAGAGAAGGUAGUGGAGAGGUUGCAGCACCUCCUGAUGAGAGCAAGCACCAUCGUUGAGGAGGCAGACGCACGAUACAUAACCAACUCCGGGAUGAUGAUGCAGCUUAAGACGCUCUCAGAGGCCAUGUACCGAGGAUACCGUGUGCUGGACAGCUCAAGGUACCAUGCCCUCCAAGACAGUGCCGGCUUCGAGGAGGUUAGCAUCAACGACUCAUCUAGAAACAACUUAUAUUUAGCGAAGCGCUCUCGAACAACAAAUGUUAAGGCCACGUGCCUCGAGUCACAUGGUGCCUUAGAAGGCUUAGAAACUGCUGUUGUUAACAUGGCAGAAUUUGUUGCGCUUCUGGGUGGAUUUGAUCGUAUGUCUCAUAGGGCAUACGAUGUUUAUCUUUACACCGACAACUUCAUGUUUGGGCGACACACUGAAAAGCAAAAGCUAUUGAGCUUCUUGUUGCAGCAUGACGACCCUCCUAGUAACCAUGCACUGGCAGUUCUCCCUAUCAUAGGUGGUAAACUAACUGGGAAGAAAACUUUAGUUGCUCAUGUGUGCGGCGAUGAAAGGGUUCGCUCACGCUUCUCCUCUAUAUUGCACUUGGAUGGAGACAACCUUUUGAGAAUACUUGAUCAUGGAAGGACCAUGGAAGGUAUGACGUUGGUAGUUAUUGAGUUUGCUUCUGAUGUAGAUGACAAUGACUGGAAAAAGUUCCACUCGUUUUUCAUAAGGAUGGACAGAGGAAGCAAGAUGAUCAUCAUAAGUAAACUUAAAAGAUUAGCCCGGUUUGGAUCGGUGAAACCAAUUUUCCUAAGCCUUCUAUCUGACGACAAGUUGAGGUACCUUUUCAAGAAGCUGGCAUUCGGAAGUGUAGACCCUGCAGAACAUCCACGGCUAGUACAAAUAGCAGAUGAAUUCGCCAAGGUGUUGCACAAUAUGGAAGGUUCACUUAUCGGAACAAAUGUGUAUGCAGAUGUGUUGAGAAAGAAUCUCAAUGUACAGUUUUGGCGUUGCGUAUUUGACAAGGGGGCACGAUAUGCUAAAAGAAACCAGACGGCCAUACAGGAAGGGCAUCCACUGGACAUAACAGACUUUGUUUUGUGUCCACUUAGCAUGACACAUCAUACAAUUGAUGUUUCAAUCAAGGAGGAAUCGCCAAGUGUGAGAUUGGGGGAAGUUCUAGCAAAUCCUAGUGUUAGACCUAAAGGAGACUUCACUCUAGUUACAUGUGAAUCAAGGAUACCCCCUCAUAAAACAUUUGCUCAUUUUGUUACGAGUCGUGCUGAUGAUACACAUCAAGGUAGGGCCUUGCCAGGGAGGAAGCGACGAGGAGUGCCAGUCUAA
rnacentral:rRNA from 1 species